rnacentral:rRNA from 1 species
ACCUCAGUGUCAGUAUCAGUCCAGGUGGUCGCCUUCGCCACUGGUGUUCCUUCCUAUAUCUACGCAUUUCACCGCUACACAGGAAAUUCCACCACCCUCUACCGUACUCUAGCUCAGUAGUUUUGGAUGCAGUUCCCAGGUUGAGCCCGGGGAUUUCACAUCCAACUUGCUGAACCACCUACGCGCGCUUUACGCCCAGUAAUUCCGAUUAACGCUUGCACCCUUCGUAUUACCGCGGCUGCUGGCACGAAGUUAGCCGGUGCUUAUUCUGUUGGUAACGUCAAAACAGCAAGGUAUUAACUUACUGCCCUUCCUCCCAACUUAAAGUGCUUUACAAUCCGAAGACCUUCUUCACACACGCGGCAUGGCUGGAUCAGGCUUUCGCCCAUUGUCCAAUAUUCCCCACUGCUGCCUCCCGUAGGAGUCUGGACCGUGUCUCAGUUCCAGUGUGACUGAUCAUCCUCUCAGACCAGUUACGGAUCGUCGCCUUGGUAGGCCUUUACCCCACCAACUAGCUAAUCCGACCUAGGCUCAUCUGAUAGCGUGAGGUCCGAAGAUCCCCCACUUUCUCCCUCAGGACGUAUGCGGUAUUAGCGCCCGUUUCCGGACGUUAUCCCCCACUACCAGGCAGAUUCCUAGGCAUUACUCACCCGUCCGCCGCUGAAUCCAGGAGCAAGCUCCCUUCAUCCGCUCGACUUGCAUGUGUUAGGCCUGCCGCCAGCGUUCAAUCUGAGCCAGGAUCAAACCCUC